GUGGGGAAUAUUGGACAAUGGGCGAAAGCCUGAUCCAGCCAUGCCGCGUGUGUGAAGAAGGUCUUCGGAUUGUAAAGCACUUUAAGUUGGGAGGAAGGGCAGUAAGUUAAUACCUUGCUUUUUUGACGUUACCGACAGAAUAAGCACCGGCUAACUUCGUGCCAGCAGCCGCGGUAAUACGAAGGGUGCAAGCGUUAAUCGGAAUUACUGGGCGUAAAGCGCGCGUAGGUGGUUUUGUAAGUUGGAGGUGAAAUCCCCGGGCUCAACCUGGGAACUGCCUCCAAAACUGCAUGACUAGAGUACGGUAGAGGGUAGUGGAAUUUCCUGUGUAGCGGUGAAAUGCGUAGAUAUAGGAAGGAACACCAGUGGCGAAGGCGACUACCUGGACUGAUACUGACACUGAGGUGCGAAAGCGUGGGGAGCAAACAGGAUUAGAAACCCGUGUAGUCC
rnacentral:rRNA from 1 species